CGUGUAGGCGGCCUUCUAAGUCUGGUGUGAAAGCCCGGGGCUCAACCCCGGAAGUGCAUUGGAUACUGGGAGGCUGGAGUACCGGAGAGGAGGGUGGAAUUCCUGGUGUAGCGGUGAAAUGCGUAGAUAUCAGGAGGAACACCGGUGGCGAAGGCGGCCCUCUGGACGGAUACUGACGCUGAGACGCGAAAGCGUGGGGAGCAAACAGGAUUAGAUACCCUGGUAGUCCACGCUGUAAACGAUGGGCACUAGGUGUUCGGGGUAUUGACCCCCUGAGUGCCGCAGCUAACGCAUUAAGUGCCCCGCCUGGGGAAUACGGCCGCAAGGUUAAA
rnacentral:rRNA from 1 species